UUUAGAAAAUUAGAGAGAAGUAUGGUUAAGACCUUCGAAUCCUCCGAGGUUCUCCUAUGGUAAUUUGCACUACUAAUUCAAACAAUGAUUAUCUAGGUUCACGACAGAUUAACACAAUAACUCUACCCAAUCUCUUGAUCUAGAAUUCUCCCCGCAAGUGGCAACCCCUUAAUCUCUUAAGUGAAUUCAAAAUCAUUGGAGGUUUUAACAGAACGUUAAACCCUAUGUCAUAACCUAAUAAUGAUCUAUCUCUAGGUUGAUUACUUAGAUUAAACUUAUUACCUAGUUCAGAGUCAAAAGUCAGGGUUAGUGGUCAUUCAAUCUCUAAGAUCAAUUUGCAUAUUCAUAAAGCUAGGGUUAGUAGUCGAUGAUAAACAUACAAAAAGCAUUAAACAUAAAGUAACAUGAAUAAACACUGACUUUCAUUGAUAUUCAAAGGAGUUCAACAAAUUAAGGUUCCCAUAAGAUUACAUCAGAUUCAUCUAAAUCUCAACCACUUGGAAAAUUAGCUACUCAUAAUUAUAGAAUUAAACAACAUGAUAAAAGAAAUUACAAACAAGAGAUGUCACGCUCCUGAAGUUUUCUGCAAUCAUAGAUGUCCUUCUAUCUCUUGUGUUGCAUGCUGUAGCUUCCUUUCCCAAUUGAUCCUAAUCUCCAAAACCGUAAUCUCUAAGUACCAAGCCGUGAUUUACCAAAACAUUAUUGAAUACUUUCAUGGUAGUGUAGCGCCUCCUUUUAUAGCAAAGAUGAUUGGUUUCUUUUCUUUGGUUACGGAUCAGACACUUCCUUGGCCCAACAAAUUUCAAUGCCAUUCUCUCAUUUUCUUAUUCACACCAGCCCAUAGUACAAAGCCAAGUGGCACAAUAAUUUCAAUUCAUAACAAAGUUU
rnacentral:lncRNA from 1 species